UACAGAGGGUGCAAGCGUUGUUCGGAAUUAUUGGGCGUAAAGCGCGUGUAGGCGGUCCGGUAAGUCCGCUGUGAAAGUCGGGGGCUCAACCCUCGGAUGCCGGUGGAUACUGUCGGGCUUGAGUACGGAAGAGGCGAGUGGAAUUCCUGGUGUAGCGGUGAAAUGCGCAGAUAUCAGGAGGAACACCAAUUGCGAAGGCAGCUCGCUGGGACGUUACUGACGCUGAGGCGCGAAAGCGUGGGGAGCGAACAGG
rnacentral:rRNA from 1 species